rnacentral:other from 1 species
AUGGUACUGCCCGGUGCGUCAGGUUUCUUUGAUCCUUGGGCCGAUAAUGCAUUGCACGGGAGCUGUCCCUGUCCCUGACCCAGGUUUCGGAUAUUACGGCGCCCACCUUUACUUAAGGGCCGCAUGCGACAUGACAACCAACGGCCAGGGCGGUCCAUUC